UUAUGACCAUAUCAUGUUGAAACACCAGCUCCUGUACAAUCACCAUAGUUAAGCAAGGUCAAGCCUGAACAGUACCUUGAUGAGUGACUGCUUGAGAAUACCAGGUGUUGAAA